rnacentral:rRNA from 1 species
CAGUAGCCGCGGGAAUACGAAGGGUGCAAGCGUUAAUCGGAAUUACUGGGCGUAAAGCGUGCGUAGGUGGUGGUUUAAGUCCGUUGUGAAAGCCCUGGGCUCAACCUGGGAAUUGCAGUGGAUACUGGGUCACUAGAGUGUGGUAGAGGAUAGUGGAAUUUCCGGUGUAGCAGUGAAAUGCGUAGAGAUCGGAAGGAACAUCUGUGGCGAAGGCGACUAUCUGGGCCAACACUGACACUGAGGCACGAAAGCGUGGGGAGCAAACAGGAUUAGAUACCCCGGUAGUCCCUGUCUCUUAUAC